UACGUAGGGUGCAAGCGUUAAUCGGAAUUACUGGGCGUAAAGCGUGCGCAGGCGGUUGUGCAAGACCGAUGUGAAAUCCCCGGGCUUAACCCGGGAAUGGCAUUGGUGACUGCACGGCUAGAGUGUGUCAGAGGGGGGUAGAAUUCCACGUGUAGCAGUGAAAUGCGUAGAGAUGUGGAGGAAUACCGAUGGCGAAGGCAGCCCCCUGGGAUAACACUGACGCUCAUGCACGAAAGCGUGGGGAGCAAACAGG
rnacentral:rRNA from 1 species